GGGCCUGUAGCUCAAUUGGUUAGAGCAUCCCGCUCAUAACGGGACGGUUCACGGUUCGAUUCCGUGCGGGCCUC
rnacentral:tRNA from 1 species